UUUUUUUUUUUUUUUUUUGGUCUUUUGUCUUUUGUCUUUUGUCUUUUUAGGACCACACCUCCUGCAUAUGGAGGUUCCCAGGCUAGGGGCCCAAUUGGAGUUGUAGCUACUGGCCUACCCCACAGCCACAGCAAUGCAGGAUCUGAGCCAUGUCUGCAACCUACACCAUAGAUCACAGCAAUGCUGUAUCCUUAACCCACUUCACGAGGCCAAGGAUGGAACCCCUGUCCUCAUGGAUACUAGUUCAAGUUUGUUAAUCACUGAGCCACAACAGGAACUCUGUAAUACUGUCAUGAUGUAUUUAGUUGCUCACAUUGUUCCAGGUUUUGGCCAUUGGGAGAUGAGAUUGAUUUCUGCAUGCUUUUGCCAUACCCCUGUUUGUUUGUUUGUUUGUUUGUUUUUUCCAGCAUUUCCCUGUGGAGCACAGCUAUUUCAUUCAUUCUAAUGUUUACUACAGGGACAUUUACAAUGACAAAGUCAACAGAAAGCGUCAAGUAGCCCUGAGAUCUCCCUACAGCACAUCAAGGGGUAGUCCUGGGAGAAGAGCAUCAGUGCUUCCAGGAAUUUGUUAGAAAUGCAGAUUCUCUAGGGCCCCACCCCAUUGUUACAAAACCAGAAAUUCUGGGGUCUGGUCCCAAAAAGCUGUGUUUUAUCGAGCCCACCAGAAAUAGCAAAAAGACAAAAAAAAAGAAAAACAUCAGAUAUGUACCAACAUUUUUGCUCUCACUUUAUGAGCUGUUGAUGACCAGGUGUUAGUUCAGUUAUAAAAAAUAGUGGCUGCUGUUUAAAGUGCUCAGAGCAUACUUAUUAUAGAUUGAAUUAUGUUCCCCCCCAAAGAUAAGUCUCAAUUCCCAGUAUCUAAGGAUGUGACCUUAUUUGGAAAUAGGGCCAUUAGGGAUAUAAUUAGUUAGGAUGAGGUGGGAGUAGGGAGGCCCUUAAUUCAAUACAGUUGGUGUCUUUAGAAGGGGAGACCUGGGAGAUGGCCAUGUGGGAAGGGGACAGAGACUGCAGUGCUGGGGCUACAGCCCAUGGCCUGGCUAGGAUUGCUAGCAAACCACCAGGAGCUGGGAAGAGGCAAAGAGGGAUUCUCCUGGGUUUCAGAGGGAACUGAGCCCCUCUGACACCUUGGUUUUGGACUUUUAGCCUCUGAAACUGUGAGACAAAAAAAUUCUGUUGUUUUGAGCCACCCAGAUUGUGGUACUUGGUAACAGCAGCCCUAGAAAACCAAACAAUACCUUAGGAAACUCUUUUAAGAAUGUUUCAUAAUCUUAAUUUGUAAAAAAAUAAUAAUUAUUUUGGAGAAUUAAAGAAUCAUAAAAUAGAAAAGAAUAAAAUAAUCUUGGACCAAUACUGUUCAUGAGUCCAGAAUUCUGUGAUAGACAAAGAAAAAAGGUAAGAACAUAUGGAUUUUUCAGUCAUAUGUAGCUGGCUUCAAAUUCUUGCCAAGUCACCUAAUAGCUGUGUGAACUUAAGUUAAAACAUGUUAAGAAUUUCCCGCUUUGGUGCAAUGGGAUUGGCGGCAUUGUGGGAGCACUGGAACACAGGUUCGAUCCCCAGCCCAGAACCAUGGGUUAAGGAUCUGGCCUUACCACAGCUGCAGCUUAAGUAGCAACCUUGGCUCAGAUCUGAUCUCUGGCCCAGGAACUCCAUGUGCCUCAGG
ensembl:lncRNA